UUAUAGUUAGUCGCUGAAGUGAGACUAUGGUGUUUACUUGAGACCAAAGUUUCAAAAUCUUUAUAGUAUCAGAAAGAAUGCGAUAAACCCAAAACAUAAUUGAAUCAAAUCUUUUUCUUCCCAAAAAAAAUUGUUUCAAAUCUCAAAUCAAAAAGAGAAAAUUAAGAUAUUUUAGUUGAUUUUCUACGCAUUUAUUGUUUCUAUUUGUAUUAUCUACAUUUGGUUUCUCAAUUCCAAAACCUUAGUUUCAUUGCCAAUGGAGGGUUUAGAGGAAUCCAGAAGAAGCUUUAAGCGGAAGUGUGAGUUCCAGCAACAAAAGCUUCGAAUCAAUGAAAGAGUUGAGGUGAAGAGUUUUGAGGAGGGUUUUCUGGGAUCAUGGCAUCCGGGCACUGUUAUUGAAUGUGGGAAGCUGACGCGUCAUGUUAGAUAUGAGAAUAUUGUGGAGGAUGAUGGGUUGGAUUAUUUGGUGGAAGUGGUGAAAGUUUCGGAUGCUUUGGAUUGUGAGUUUGGUUCUCCGAGUAAAUGUGCGGUGAUUAGGCCACUUCCUCCUUGGGUUGAGUUUCAAACCUGUGAUAUUAAAUUUGGUCUUUGUGUUGAUGUGAGUUACCAGGAUGCUUGGUGGGAAGGUGUUGUGUUUGAUCACCAUGAAGUAAUGGAGAAGAGGAGUGUGUUCUUUCCUGAUUUGGGUGAUGAGAUGAAGGUCGAGAUCGAUCAAAUGCGGAUUACUCAGGAUUGGGAUGAAGUUACGGGGAAAUGGCAGCGACGGGGGAACUGGGUGUUUCUUGAAUUGAUCGAGGAGUGUCUGCGGGAGUCAUAUCUUGCAGUUUCGGUGAAGCAAAUUUGGUAUGAAGUGCAACAAAAAAAGGAAUUUGCAGCUGUUGGCGAUUGGACUUUAAAUGUGAAGAAGGAUUUGUGGAGAGACAUGAUAAUGCAGGUAGUUGUUGACUACAUGGGUAUUACAGUAAGAGAAGUUUUCUCAACCUUGAAACCUCAAGAGCUGGACUCGGUUGGCCUAAUGUCUAAAGUUGAUUCAAACAAGACGUUGUCUGAGAAGGAAAAUUUUGAGCAGAAACAACUUGUUAUUUUUCCAGUUGAAAAGGACUUUCCAAAGUUUCAAAGUGAAGUUUCAGUUGCUAUUUGUUCUGAGAGAAACAAACGUAGAUCUUCAACUCAUUCAAAUUCCAACAAUUGGGAACCUGUAAUAGUGCCUGAAAUGGAAUACUGCCCCGAUGCUGUUACGCAAUACAUACUUGCUUCUCAGAACAGGAAUAAGAGACCGAUUUGGAGGGAAAAAGUAUGGAAGCAUCUUGCAUAUCUUGGAUGGGAAAUUGACCAACAUGGUCAUCAUAUCAGGUACAAGCCACCAGAUGGAAUCUGUCAGAAGAAAUUUUACUACUCACUUAUUGAAAUUUGUAAAGUUAUGGAAUCAAGGGUGAACUCUUCGGCAUCAAAAAAUGAUAUCGGUAACAAUGCUCCUACUCCUUCCUCUAUUAAUGGUUAUAAUUUAUCUAUUUCUUCUUCUACUCCACAAUCUGAACCACCUCAAACCAUUAAUAUAAGUGCAUAUCUUCCUACUCAACCUACACCAUCUAAACCACCAAAACUACCUAGACCAUGUCAUGUUCCACAUGUGCUUCUUAAUCCAUUGGAAAAGAGUCAGAAUCCAGAUGUAUCUUCUCUAGCUGUGGUGCCUUCUUCUGUUGCAGUGGCAGGUGAACAAGCUACUCCUUCAGCGGCGUAUUGGCCUCAAGUCAUUGCUGAAUACCACAAACGUGCACUCGAACGGAAUUGGCGUGGUAAAAAAAAAUAUAUUUCAAAAAUAAAAAAGCAUCUCCUGAAAGAAGGAUGGGUUUUAACUGACCCUCCCCCGGAAAACAAAAGAAGGGGUGUGUUAUAUACUUCCCCGCAAAACCGGAACUUUACCUCACUGAACAUGGUAUGCAAAUUCCUAAUUAAGGAAAGUAAUAUAAGAUCAUCUAUUUCUGGAAUUGAACCUUUAAAUGCCUCAGUUGUUAACGAAGAAAGUGUUGAUCAGGAAAGUAUUCAAAGAUCAACUAUGUCUGGCAUUCAACCGUUUGUUAGUGAUGAAAGUGUUGAUCGAGUACCAAGUGAUGAUUUAUCAAGUAAAACAUCACAUUUUCUUCCUCAUGAGACUGAAUUGUACACUAUAGACAGGGUUGCUACAAAUAGAUCAAAGAGAAAACGCGAUGAUUCAAGUCUAAGGGUGAGAUCGAAUAAAAGAGUGCGAAAAUUUUCUGCCCCUUCUCUAUCACAUCAGAAAGCUCUGAAUGUUGUGUCUUGGUUGAUAGACAGCAAUGUGGUGUUACCAAGGUCUAAUGUUUAUUAUGUAGCAAAAAGACAGCAUGUCAUGGCUUCUGGUCGAAUAACUCACGAUGGAAUCAAGUGUAAAUGUUGUCAUAAAAUAUUUAGUCUUGUUUCCUUUGAAUUUCAUGCUAUUGGCAGUAAUACCACCAGACCAAGUGCUAGUAUCUUUCUGGAUGAUGGUAGGUCGCUCUUACAGUGCCAGAUACAAAUAAUGCAAGAUCAUGUGUCAAGGGAGGCUAUGGUAAAAUCACAAACUCAUUUGUGUCAGAGUGAAAACGACUACAUUUGUUCCGUUUGCCGCAACGGGGGCGAACUUCUUUUGUGUGAUCGGUGUCCGUCUUCAUAUCAUAAGACGUGUCUUGGUCUUGAGGACAUCCCUGAUGGUGAAUGGUUUUGUCCAUCAUGUCUUUGCGGGAUUUGUGGCCAAAGAAAAUUCAAUGGGGGCGGUGAGGAUGGACAUUUCCUUAAAUGCAUUCAGUGUGAACAUAAUUAUCAUGUUGCAUGCCUGAUAAGUAGAGAUACAUUUAAAUCCAAAAGUUAUGCGGAAAGCCAGUUCUGCGGAAAAGACUGUGAAAAGUUAUAUGAAGGCCUUCAAAGAAUGUUGGGAGAGCCAGUUUCAGUGGGCGUGCGUGAUCUAACAUGGACAUUGGUGAAGUGUAUCGACUUUGAGAGUUAUGAUAUUGAUAGUAGUAAAAGUGGAUUAUUGGCAGAAAGUUACAGCAAACUCAAUGUUGCUCUUUCUGUGAUGCAUGAAUGUUUUGAGCCCCUAAAGGAACCCUCCUCUGGCAGAGAUCUGGUGGAAGAUGUUAUAUUCAGCCGAAGGUCAGAACUUAAUCGAAUGAAUUUCCGGGGUUUCUAUACUGUACUUCUAGAGAAAGAUGGAGAGCUGGUCAGUGUGGCAACUAUUAGGGUCUUAGGAGAUAAGGUAGCUGAAGUACCUCUUGUUGGUACAAGAUUUCAAUAUCGUCGACAUGGAAUGUGCCGCAUCUUAAUGGAUGAACUGGAAAAGGUAAUGAACAAGGAACUCAUUUCCCUUUUUUCCUUCUCUAUCAUUUGACGCCCUUUUUUCAUAUUUAACAUCAUAAUAUGUGUGUUUUGUAUUUUGGCUGUAACACCUAGGACUGUUCAAAAGAAUCCACUGAGACAGCCAAACUGAACUGAACUGCCAAACCCAACCAAAUUAAAACCAUAUAGAACCUAUGAAGCACAAACACCUCUAGGAUUAGGUGUGUUGCACAGUGUUGCGUUAAUGUGAUUCGCAUAGGUGUCCGACAAUUGUAUGAUACAUGUAAGACACCUCUAGGAGUAGGUACUAUCAUAUAUGUAGUAGAGUUAUCGAUAGCGACUGAUAGCGGUGACCCCCGCUACGGCGGAGUGGUUUGCGUCUCAGUUUGAGAUCACGGCCGCAAUUUGUGGUUUUAGCGUGUCGCGGGAGUGGAGUGUUUCCCGGCUCGAGCGGGUUUCAUCAGUUUUGAAAGCAAAAACCGAGUUUUACCCUUAAAAAAAUUAAACGUGGAGGAGGUUUGAGGAAUUUUUCCAAUUUUCCCUAACUCAGAACAUUCAAUCUUCUUCUCGCCCACCUUUCGCAAGUUUUCAGAGUUUUCUUCUCACAAUCUUCUCCAAGCGCCACCUCCAUCUGGUUCAUUUCUCAGCGCCGCCGCCCCCGUCUGCUUCGUUUCUCAGUGCCAGUGCCACCGCCCCCGUCUGCUGUGUUUCUCAGUGCCUCCGUCUGCCACGUUUCUUAGUCUGCUGCGUUUUUCAGACAAUAGCCAGCAUAUUCUUCUACACCAUCUCUGAAUUCUACAUUUGUCGCCUCCUGUGGCCAAACCUUUAAACCAGCCGGUAGUGACGUUGACAUAUCAUGACAAUUUAACCAUUGGAAGGAUCUAAAUAACAAGAAAAAGGUGACAUGUGAGUUUUGUAAUCUUACAACUAGUGGAAGAACAAGUAGAGCAAGAAAUCAUCAACUAGGUAUAAAGGGUGAUGUAGUUGAACAAGUAGAGCAAGAAAUCAUCAAUUAGGUAUAAAGGGUGAUGUAGUUGAAUAAGUAGAGCAAGAAGACAUCAGCGGGGAAUAAAGAGCUAUGUAGUUGCUUGCUUUAAAACACCAACCGGAUGUUAAAGCACUAUUACAGGCUGAUUUGGAUGGAAACGAAAGAAUUAAAAAAGGAGUAGCAGUGGUGCCUAGUGCAAAUAGAUGAAGAUGCUAAUGACGCCAUUGAGGAGAUAGGGAGAAUUCGAACCGGAAAGAGGCUUGCUGAGACCUCUUUACAUGCUGUCAAAAAGAUUAAAGGUCCAUUGGAUUUAAUGUUUAAGAAGACUAGGACACAAAGCAAACAAGCAUCAAUGAUGCAUGUGCUAGAACAAGAUUUUGAUUCUGCAAUGUAUCUUUAAGUUUUGAUGAUAACAAAGAAUGAAACAAUUUGGUACCCUAAUAAUUUUCUUAAGUGUGCAGGAUUCUAAGUUGAAAUGACACUGAUAAGUCACCUUCUGAUUCUUAAGAAACUAAUAUUUGACAUCUGAAGUAGUCCAGAAGCGCUGAUCCAACACAAAGAGAAAUCACAUCUGACUCUGAACAGAAUGCAUCUGAGGAGCAAUCACCUGAAGAAUCUGACUCUGAAGUUCAAGCUCUGAUGAUCUGAUUCUGCGAACUCUAUCUGAAGAAUCUACACAGAGAUAUCUGAGGACUCUAACUCUGAAGACUCUGAUCAUGCUCACCUCACUCUGACACAUGCUCAGAAACACGCCAUCAGAUGUCACCUGGUCAGAAACUUAAGGUGGAAACAUUCAAAUUGUAGUACAAUCCUUUUAAGAAAACAUUUGAUUAUGCUCCUAGUCUAUUAUGGAAACGAUAAGGAAUUUACUACAUUUGUCUCCCACAGCUAGCACGAAAUCUUUGUUGAUUUCCCCUCAACGGUAUUAUCACAACUUGCCAAAAUACAACCUUCAUACAACUUUUUCACCACUCUUAUGAAGAACAACUCAGGCUCUGCAUACUCUGAUUAUUUCUUCACCAUUGUUGUUGUAAGAAAAAGUUUCCAUACAAGAGUUGCUGCCAAAUAUUUUGUAGUUAUCUUUCACUGUUCUUAAAUUGUUUUUGAUUCCUCAAGUGACUUGUUUAGGUCUGUAGACUUGAGAGGGUUAAGAGGUUGUUGAAUCCUUAGAUGAAUUUUGUAAUAUGUUGAGAUUAGUGGAUUAAGUCUUUGUUGAAGGCGAAAUCACCUUGGCCAGGUGAACUGGAGUAACUUUGAUUUUCAAGCGAACCAGGAUAAAUCGUUUGUGUUAUUAUUAUUUCUUCUUUGUGUAUGUUGAGAAAAUCUUUUAAUUCCUGUGAAAAUAAUUCAAACCAAACACAAAACCUCCAAUUUUUGAGAGUUUCUUCCUAGGUUACGAUGCUGAUAUCUGUGAUAUGGUUACAAAUGAUUAUGAGCUACCCAUCUCGAUCAGAGUAGAAUGAACGACGAUCAGAAGCGUGAUUUCAAGAAUCACCAUAAAGCUAGAACCAUUCUGAUAAAUGCUAUUUCCUACCACGAGUACGAGAAGAUAACCAAUAGGGAAACAACCAAAUAUAUUUUUGACUCCUUGGAAAUGACGCAAAAAGGCAACAACCAAGUUAGAUUAAGGCUCUGACCUUAAUCUAGAAGUAUGAAGCCUUCAGAAUGGAAGAUGAUGAAGUUGUUGAAGUGAUGUUCUCAAGGUUACAAACCUUGGUUGUAGGACUCAAGGUUCUGGAUAAAGGAUAUACUACAAGAGAUCAUGUCAAGAAGAUAAUCAAAAGUCUUCCCAAGAAUAUCACUUCAACAGCUUCAUCAUGUUCCAUUCUGAAGGCUUCAUACUUUUGGAUUAAGGCCAUAGCCUUAGUCUCUUUAACUUGGUUGUUUCCUUCGUGCGUCAUUUUCAAGGAGUCAAAAAUAUCUUUGGUUGUUUUCCUGUUGGUUAUCUUUUCGUUGUAGGAAAUAACGUUUAACAAAAUGGUUCUAGCCUUAUGGUGAUUCUUGAAAUCACGUUUUGGAAUAGGAAUACCAAUUGCAGAGAUGAGCAACUCAUAUAUCCCAGAUAUCAGCAUCGUAGCCUAGGAAGAAACUCUUAAUUUUGUCCUUCAUUUGUGUUGGCCAUGAAGUUUUUCUCACCCUGGGUCUCUUUACACGGUUAAGUGUUUGAUUCAAAACACGCAAAGAAGAAAUAAUAAUAACCCAAACGAGUUCUCCUGGUUCGCUUGAAAAUCAAAGCUACUCCAGUCCACCCGGCCAAGAUGAUUUCGCCUUCAACAAAGACUUAAUACACUAAUUUAACAGAUUACAAAGUUCGUCUAAGGGUUCAAUAACCUCUUAUCCCUCUCAAGUCUAAGGAAUCAAAAACAAUUACAAGAAUUAAAAGUGUUUCGCUAGAUAAGCAGUAUAGACACAAUUUAAGAACAAUGAAAGAUAACUACACAAUAUUGAGCAACAACUUAACCCGAGUAUGCAGAGCGUGAGUUGUUCUUCGUAAGAGUGGUGAUAAACUUGUUGUAUCAAGGUUGUAUUUUGGCAAGUUGUGGAAAGGUCCUUAUAUAGCACUUGAGAUAAUACCGUUGGGGGAAAUCAAUAAAGAUUUCGUGCCAAGAUUAAGUUGUAUGACAAAUGUAUUCAUCUAGUCCCUGCUUUGAUUGAAAUAUAUGAAUGUCGUGACAAGAUUAAUCCUAUGGUUUUGAGUGACAUUGAUUAUCA